CCCGCAACGAGCGCAACCCUUAUCCUUUGUUGCCAGCGGUCCGGCCGGGAACUCAAAGGAGACUGCCAGUGAUAAACUGGAGGAAGGUGGGGAUGACGUCAAGUCAUCAUGGCCCUUACGACCAGGGCUACACACGUGCUACAAUGGCGCAUACAAAGAGAAGCAAUCUCGCGAGAGCUAGCGGACCUCAUAAAGUGCGUCGUAGUCCGGAUUGGAGUCUGCAACUCGACUCCAUGAAGUCGGAAUCGCUAGUAAUCG
rnacentral:rRNA from 1 species